rnacentral:rRNA from 1 species
ACGAACGCUGGCGGCGUGCUUAACACAUGCCAGUCGAACGGAAAGGCCCUGCUUUUGUGGGGUGCUCGAGUGGCGAACGGGUGAGUAAUACGUGAGUAACCUGCCCUUGACUUUGGGAUAACUUCAGGAAACUGGGGCUAAUACCGGAUAGGAGCUCCUGCUGCAUGGUGGGGGUUGGAAAGUUUCGGCGGUUGGGGAUGGACUCGCGGCUUAUCAGCUUGUUGGUGGGGUAGUGGCUUACCAAGGCUUUGACGGGUAGCCGGCCUGAGAGGGUGACCGGCCACAUUGGGACUGAGAUACGGCCCAGACUCCUACGGGAGGCAGCAGUGGGGAAUAUUGCACAAUGGGCGGAAGCCUGAUGCAGCAACGCCGCGUGCGGGAUGACGGCCUUCGGGUUGUAAACCGCUUUCGCCUGUGACGAAGCGUGAGUGACGGUAAUGGGUAAAGAAGCACCGGCUAACUACGUG